rnacentral:lncRNA from 1 species
GCCGGGUGUAGCUCAUGGACUUGGUUGUUGGACUUAUUUCAUUCAUCAGCCUAUGCCUAUGAAAUAAUAUUAACCCACGUUAACAUCAUAGCCCGGGAUUUAUUGAGUAUCAAAAACCCAACAAAUCUCCACCUUGAUGCCCAAUAAAUCUGCAAGCAAUCAAAACACACAGUUAACACUUGCAUAAUCAAGGUAGCCAAUAAAAUUGGAUCACAGACCUUACCUCAUGUUUCCAACUUGAAACACAUACCAUACCUGCUCCAUGUACUCACUGGGGCUAAGGUCAAAAA